rnacentral:rRNA from 1 species
GACGUAGGAGGCGAGCGUUGUCCGGAUUCAUUGGGCGUAAAGAGCACGCAGGCGGUUUGGCAAGUCGGAUGUGAAAACCCGGAGCUCAACUCCGGACCUGCAUCCGAAACUGCCCGACUAGAGGUAGGUAGGGGAGAUCGGAAUUCCUGGUGUAGCGGUGAAAUGCGCAGAUAUCUGGAGGAAUACCGGUGGCGAAGGCGGCAUCCUGGACCGACAUUGACGCUGAUGAGCGAAAGCGUGGGGAGCAACAGGAUUAAGAAACCCAGUAC